AUUCUGAUGGGGAAAGAGAUAAUGAGGCCUUCUUUCUUUCUUUAUUUUUACAGACACAAAUUUUGAUUCUUUAUUUUAAAUGAAAGAACCCAGAUAUGUCUUUUCUGAAUGACCUGUGAAACUACUCCUCAUUAUACCCUAACGUACUGUCAUUCCUCUUUUGAUCUUUGUGGCCCAAAUGACACUGCCAGGUACCAUGUUCUAAACAAACUGGCCUGCCAAGCCUUUCCCUGAUCUCAUCCUGCCCUCUCUCCAGUCUCUGUGCAUCUCCACAAACCAUUCUUCAGACUCAACAGAUGUGAUGGACUCCCUCCUCAUCGCUGCCUCUCUUCCUUCAAGCAUUGACAUUCCACCUUGGAGAGAGUGCUCAGAGAGUUGGCCUCAAAUACAAGAAGACCUGGGUUUAAGUCCCACCUCUGCCAUGUCCUGGCUUUGUAACUCUGGCUCCUGCUCUGGCUCCUGCUCCUGGUCUCCCUCUUGCUCACCUGGCCCAGCUGAUCCUGACCCGCCAGCAACUCUGACCUCUGACCCAGAUGGCUCAUCGCCCCAGGACCAGCUUCAUGACCCAGCCUGCUGGCAGCAGACCCAAUUUCUUCAGGAUAAAAAAAAAAAAACAGUUGGUAAAAAAAAUGGGGGUGAUUUUUCCUUAGGCUAUGAUUAGCCUCCACUGUUGCAAGGGGCAGGGGGCAUGGGGGGGGGGGGAGAAAGAGGGAAAGAAGGAAGAGAUUUUUCCAAACAGAAACUUACAAGCAUGGGGUAUUUAAAAGGAUAUCUUUUGACUGUAUUGAUUCUUUCACUUAACUCACCUGGAAGUCAGGAGAGAAUUUCAACUCCCUGCAAUUCUUGGGUCAAAUAUGAGAUUCCCAAAACCCACCCUCACUAUGGGAAGGCAGCUCAGAGGCUCAGUGGCUCAGUGAAUUGAGAGCCAGGCCUAGAGAUGGGAGGUCCUUGGUUGAAAUCUGGCCUCAAAGACUUCCUGGUGGUGUGGCCCUGGGCAGUCAUUUAACCCCCAUUGCCUACCCCUUAUCAAUCUUCUGCCUUCUGACAAUAGGCAUCUAAAUGGAUAAUUUAAGAAAACAAAAAACCCAAGGAACUUUAAA
rnacentral:lncRNA from 1 species